GCCUCUAUGGCGCAGUGGUAACGCGUCGCACUUGUAUUAGAACAACAAUAUGCAAUGCGAAGAUCCUGGGUUCAACUCCCAGUGGAGGCA
rnacentral:tRNA from 2 species